rnacentral:rRNA from 1 species
CCCAGACUCCUACGGGAGGCAGCAGUGGGGAAUAUUGCACAAUGGGCGAAAGCCUGAUGCAGCGACGCCGCGUGAGUGAAGAAGUAUUUCGGUAUGUAAAGCUCUAUCAGCAGGGAAGAAAAUGACGGUACCUGACUAAGAAGCCCCGGCUAACUACGUGCCAGCAGCCGCGGUAAUACGUAGGGGGCAAGCGUUAUCCGGAUUUACUGGGUGUAAAGGGAGCGUAGACGGCGAAGCAAGUCUGAAGUGAAAACCCAGGGCUCAACCCUGGGACUGCUUUGGAAACUGUUUUGCUAGAAUGUCGGAGAGGUAAGUGGAAUUCCUAGUGUAGCGGUGAAAUACGUAGAUAUUAGGAGGAACACCAGUGGCGAAGGCGGCUUACUGGACGAUAACUGACGUUGAGGCUCGAAAGCGUGGGGAGCAAACAGGAUUAGAUACCCUCGUA